rnacentral:rRNA from 1 species
UACGGAGGGGGCUAGCGUUGUUCGGAAUUACUGGGCGUAAAGGGCGCGUAGGCGGACAGUUUAGUCAGAGGUAAAAGCCCAGGGCUCAACCUUGGAACUGCCUUUGAUACUGACUGUCUUGAGUUCGGGAGAGGUGAGUGGAAUGCCGAGUGUAGAGGUGAAAUUCGUAGAUAUUCGGCGGAACACCAGUGGCGAAGGCGACUCACUGGCCCGAUACUGACGCUGAGGCGCGAAAGCGUGGGGAGCAAACAGG